UAAGGGAUAUUGGUCAAUGGGGGAAACCCUGAACCAGCAACGCCGCGUGAGGGAAGACGGUUUUCGGAUUGUAAACCUCUGUCCUCUGUGAAGAUGAUGACGGUAGCAGAGGAGGAAGCUCCGGCUAACUACGUGCCAGCAGCCGCGGUAAUACGUAGGGAGCGAGCGUUGUCCGGAUUUACUGGGUGUAAAGGGUGCGUAGGCGGCUUGGCAAGUCAGUAGUGAAAUCCAUGGGCUUAACCCAUGAACUGCUAUUGAAACUGUCGAGCUUGAGUGAAGUAGAGGUAGGCGGAAUUCCCGGUG
rnacentral:rRNA from 1 species